UACGGGGGGGGCAAGCGUUGUUCGGAAUUACUGGGCGUAAAGGGCUCGUAGGCGGCCAACUAAGUCAGACGUGAAAUCCCUCGGCUUAACCGGGGAACUGCAUCUGAUACUGGAUGGCUUGAGUUCGGGAGAGGAAGGCGGAAUUCUCGGUGUAGAGGUGAAAUUCGUAGAUAUCGAGAGGAACACCGGUGGCGAAGGCGGCCUUCUGGACAGUGACUGACGCUGAGACGCGAAAGCGUGGGGAGCAAACAGG
rnacentral:rRNA from 1 species